AGAGUUUGAUUAUGGCUCAGAUUGAACGCUGGCGGUAUGCUUAACACAUGCAAGUCGAACGGAAACGAUACUAGCUUGCUAGUAGGCGUCGAGUGGCGGACGGGUGAGUAACGCGUAGGAAUCUGCCUGAUAGUGGGGGAUAGCCCGGAGAAAUUCGGAUUAAUACCGCAUAAUCUAUUCGUAGUAAAGUGGGGGACUUUCGAGCCUCACGCUAUCAGAUGAGCCUGCGUAAGAUUAGCUAGUUGGUAGGGUAAAAGCCUACCAAGGCGACGAUCUUUAGCUGGUCUGAGAGGAUGAUCAGCCACAUCGGGACUGAGACACGGCCCGAACUCCUACGGGAGGCAGCAGUGGGGAAUAUUGGACAAUGGGGGCAACCCUGAUCCAGCAAUACCGCGUGUGUGAAGAAGGCCUGAGGGUUGUAAAGCACUUUCAAUUGUGAAGAAAAGUUAGCGGUUAAUAACCGUUAGCCUUGACGUUAACUUUAGAAGAAGCACCGGCUAACUCCGUGCCAGCAGCCGCGGUAAUACGGAGGGUGCAAGCGUUAAUCGGAAUUACUGGGCGUAAAGCGUGCGUAGGCGGUUUAUUAAGUCAGAUGUGAAAGCCCCGGGCUUAACCUGGGAACUGCAUUUGAAACUGGUAAACUAGAGUAUGGUAGAGGAAAGUGGAAUUUCUGGUGUAGCGGUGAAAUGCGUAGAUAUCAGAAGGAACAUCAAUGGCGAAGGCAGCUUUCUGGACCAAUACUGACGCUGAGGUACGAAAGCGUGGGUAGCAAACAGGAUUAGAUACCCUGGUAGUCCACGCCGUAAACGAUGAUAACUAGCCGUUGGGGGGAUUUACCCUUUAGUGGCGAAGCUAACGCGUUAAGUUAUCCGCCUGGGGAGUACGGCCGCAAGGUUAAAACUCAAAGGAAUUGACGGGGACCCGCACAAGCGGUGGAGCAUGUGGUUUAAUUCGAUGCAACGCGAAGAACCUUACCUGGUCUUGACAUCCUGCGAACUUUCUAGAAAUAGAUUGGUGCCUUCGGGAACGCAGUGACAGGUGCUGCAUGGCUGUCGUCAGCUCGUGUCGUGAGAUGUUGGGUUAAGUCCCGUAACGAGCGCAACCCCUAUCCUUAUUUGCCAGCACAUCAUGGUGGGAACUAUAAGGAGACUGCCGGUGAUAAACCGGAGGAAGGCGGGGACGACGUCAAGUCAUCAUGGCCCUUACGACCAGGGCUACACACGUGCUACAAUGGGAAGGACAAAGAGCCGCGAAGCCGCGAGGUGUAGCUAAUCUCAUAAACCUUUUCGUAGUCCGGAUUGGAGUCUGCAACUCGACUCCAUGAAGUCGGAAUCGCUAGUAAUCGUAGAUCAGAAUGCUACGGUGAAUACGUUCCCGGGUCUUGUACACACCGCCCGUCAUACCAUGGGAGUGGGUUGCACCAGAAGUGGCUAGUCUAACUUAGUGAGGACGGUCACCACGGUGUGAUUCAUGACUGGGGUAAAGUCGUAACAAGGUA
rnacentral:rRNA from 1 species